GCUUAUGAAUAAUUAUAUUGCAGCGAAUGCGUUACGACAGGCACUGUCAUUGUGUGAAUAAUUAAUGAUAUAGUGAUCCAAGCAUUACGUCGAGUUUGCCGUAAGCUUACCUCAUAGCCAUCAUAAGCCAGGUACGCUGACGGAAGGGUAACGUAACCACACGGAAGAGCCAAAAAGUACUAUGGAGGAAUACAAACACAAAAGAAGCAGCAGUAACAACAGAAGACAGUUUUGUCAUGUAAAUGGCCUUGGGCAAAAGUCUUUAUAACUGCAAUAACAUAAGUUAGUGGAAACAGUGUCAGGCUUUCCCAGAUGGAGACAAUAUAGUGAGAUUAUUCACCCAGUGUUUAUUCACAAGAUUGACCAAAUCUUAUUUAGAUGACCAAAUUAUGAACAAUGACCCACCCUGAGGCUGUAAGAGUGUGCCUGAUGAGAGAAUGCAUACUUGAACCAGUUAUAAGACUUAAUAUAUUCAAGAAGACCAAGCGAUCCUUAUAGGACUACAUGCAAAGCAAUGUACUCCAGACCGCACAACUGGACAUACAAAUUGUGCCCUGAUGCCAUCUGCCCCGUUCUCCCAGCCUCAUCUUCCCUCUCUAUGCCUAGCUUUAAAUCGGUUGGCUCUUCUUUUGGCUCUCUUCAUCCCGUCUGCCUGCCUCGCUGCUCUCCCUGAUAACAUUUCCUGACUGAUGCCUUGCACUCUGACUCUUUCUGCAAGGUGCCAUUCUGAGCAGUGACUCAAUUUAGUGCCACUCUGCUGCUUGGCAUUGCACUUCUGAGGUCAUCACCAUCUUUCUUCAGCCAACCAAAAUGAUUCUCACCAACCACCCCAGCUCUGCUAAGCUUGAUGUUGGAGGUCUGCUGUUUUUGAAGCAGGGGACCACUGUCCAUUAAAGGCUUCAUAAACCAUUUAACAAAAUCACAUAAGAUAGGGUAGUUCAUACUCCAUGCGAUGUGCCAUACAAUGGAAGGGCCAUGUUCCUUAUCACAUCUGGAUGCUGCAAAGCUCCUGUCUCCUCAACAAUUUACGAACUAAUCAAUUAUUAAAUGAAGAAAUGCUAUGUAAAUGCAAAGAUAUUUCUUCCUGUGGAAUUUGAGUCUUAAAUUUAGUAAUUACUGUUUUAUGGCAUAAAUAAAAGUUAAAUAUUAUAUUA